GUUCAGUGAUGUCUCAACAAAUGUCUGACCUGAACACUUAAUGUGGACAAGAUGUUUACUGAGCAA
rnacentral:snoRNA from 1 species